CCUACGGGAGGCAGCAGUGGGGAAUCUUGCACAAUGGAGGAAACUCUGAUGCAGCGAUGCCGCGUGAGUGAAGAAGGCCUUUGGGUUGUAAAGCUCUUUUGUAGGGGAAGAUAAUGACUGUACCCUAAGAAUAAGGUCCGGCUAACUUCGUGCCAGCAGCCGCGGUAAUACGAAGGGACCUAGCGUAGUUCGGAAUUACUGGGCGUAAAGCGCGCGUAGGCCGUUGAGUUAGUUAAUUGUGAAAUCCCAAAGCUUAACUUUGGAACUGCAAUUAAAACUGCUCGACUAGAGUUUGAUAGAGGAAAGCGGAAUACAUAGUGUAGAGGUGAAAUUCGUAGAUAUUAUGUAGAACACCAGUUGCGAAGGCGGCUUUCUGGAUCAACACUGACGCUGAGGCGCGAAAGUAUGGGUGGCAAAGAGGAUUAGAUACCCUCGUAGUCCAUACCAUAAACGAUGAUUGCUAGAUGUUGGAAAUUUAUUUUCAGUAUCGCAGCUAACGCAUUAAGCAAUCCGCCUGGGGAGUACGACCGCAAGGUUAAAACUCAAAGGAAUUGACGGCUGAGAGUGCGACGACGACGACGAGGAGUAGG
rnacentral:rRNA from 1 species